rnacentral:rRNA from 1 species
AACGGGUGAGUAAUAUAUCGGAACGUGCCCAGUCGUAGGGGGAUAACGUAGCGAAAGCUACGCUAAUACCGCAUACGAUCUACGGAUGAAAGCGGGGGAUCGCAAGACCUCGCGCGAUUGGAGCGGCCGAUAUCAGAUUAGGUAGUUGGUGAGGUAAAGGCUCACCAAGCCGACGAUCUGUAGCUGGUCUGAGAGGACGACCAGCCACACUGGGACUGAGACACGGCCCAGACUCCUACGGGAGGCAGCAGUGGGAAUUUUGGACAAUGGGCGCAAGCCUGAUCCAGCAAUGCCGCGUGCAGGAUGAAGGCCUUCGGGUUGUAAACUGCUUUUGUACGGAACGAAACGGUGAGCUCUAAUACAGUUUGCUAAUGACGGUACCGUAAGAAUAAGCACCGGCUAACUACGUG